GGAGCUCUCAAGUCAAUGGGAAAAAAAGAAAAAAACGUGAACUGAGCUAUCAUGCAAGUCGGGCAACUUUGCAAUCUUAUUUGCGCAGGUAACCAGUCCUCGUAGCCCACCAUAACCUUUGAGCAAAGUGCUUGCGCAUCAUCAACGUCGACGCGAACAGUCGUCCCAUUUGAACAAAAGACGGAAACCUGCCUUUCUUUCCGCAAACAAUGGCCACGUCCUCAAAACGUGCUUGCGAAGGCGGGGGCAUUUCACCGUUUUACAGGGUCCACGGGAUUUUGGCCAACUGUAGCCUGACAUGCAGCAGAGUGUUUCCCAUAUCCGAACGAUUCCUUGUACCUAGUUCUUGGCGUGGUGAGUCUGUUUCCAGUACAAAACUGAUACUAGCUCGCAUCAAUACAGCAGAGGAUAGUAUUUGUGUUCACAUCGCUAUCAACGGGACGCGAAUGCGGUGGUCCGCGAAGACCAUCAAUCUUACGCCAUAUGUUAAGGAGCGCAACCUGCUUCAAAUCUUCCACGGCGAAAACUUUGGCAGGAGAAGGAUGGAAAUAUUAGUUGAGUGUGCGGAGCGUGCCUCUACAGCAGAACUUUUACAGCUGCCACCAAACAAAAGCAUCAUGUCAGUCGAAAAAAGCAAGUCGAUGAUAUCGAAGUCUAUCAAAAGCAACCACGACCACGACGUUGCCAUAAUGACAGAUGUGGUGUGCCUCAACUGCCCCUUGAGCAAGACAAGGAUUGAGGUACCAUGUCGAGGUCGUCUCUGCCAUCAUCUGCAAUGUUUUGAUGGACUGUCUUAUUUGGAAAACAACGAGAGCGCUUGUGGACGGGCGUGGCGUUGCCCAAUCUGCAACGUCGUCGUCGACGACUCAGACCUUGUAAUCGACCAGCUUUGGCUCAACAUGCUUGAGGAAGUGCCGUCCUCCUGCACAGAUGUGGAACUUCAUGAAGACGGUACCUGGGCGGCCGUAAACGCCAAUGACUGGUCGGUCAUAACGGUGGACGACUCGCCGGUGCCAUUGAAGCGGAGGAGACUAGACGAGACAAUUGAUUUAACGGACGAAGUUUAACGCGAUGAGGCGUGAUAUCUAUAUGUAUCAGUAUGUUUUAAUGUAAGUAGGUAUAAUGUAAUAGUGCUCUAGACGUUUUAAAGUGUAGGUCUUCGUAUUUUAAAGGGUUGCAACAAGACGAAAAACAAUGUCAAGCGACCGGAUGAAUAAAUUAGUAACGGUUAGAAACAUUUAUUGUAUUUUAAAGGGUUAAACAUCAAAGUACAUUUAUUUUGUUUUUAUUCAGACGUGACGUUGAAUGACUACAAUAAAGAAAUAUACAAGAUGGC